AGCUAUUCAUUGUGAGGUUGCUGUAGUUUGACGAGCAUGUGAACUUGGGCCCUAGCCAUUCGGAUCCUUGUAGUGCGGAUUGGCUACAGUAGGUUUUGAUUAGUGCUAAAUAAUGCACAAAUUAAUAUCUUAUUCAUAGCACUUAUCAUUAUUUUAAUUCACAUAUUUUGUAAAUUCAACUAAAAAAAUGUGUUACCUUCAUCACUGCAUUUUAAUAAAUUAUUAAAGGUAAUUC
rnacentral:lncRNA from 1 species